UCGGACAAAUAAUACUAAAAUUUCUAUUUGUGAAUUUCAUGAACAAAACAUACUUACUUUACCUACCUAUCAUAUAUUAAAUAUGGAAGAUGAAAUAAAAAUUGAAUAUGAAGAAUCGACAGAAAUUGAUCCUCUUUCUGGGGAAACACCAUCAUCAGAAACUGGUGUUAAUAUGCCUCGUGAUGCACCUUCUCCAAUAUCAAGGGUGGAAGCAGACAUUCUUAAUAGUCCAGCACCGAAAAUCAUACCACAUUUAGAGAUAAAUGAAGCUGCCGAUGUAAAGACCUUAGAAAGCAAAGUCCUAGUUGAAGAAAAUAAAGAAGAGGAAACACCUGCAGAAAAUAAAGGGAGCGCACUCAAUUCUGCAUUGGAUUUUGUUGUUUUUAAUAAAAUUUAAAACCAUGAUCCAAUAUCUGCUGUCAGAAGAUGCCAAGGACGAAGAUGUAGAAUUUAAUGAAAGACAACCUGUAAGCUUAUUCAUAGAAGGAACUAUUCUGUCGAAGCUUCUAAUGGUUUUUCCUGUUAGGUGGGGUAAUGAUAUCUAUGUGAAAAAGAAACAAGUGUUACAAUAGUAAUCAAGAAGAUUCAGUCACCUGGUACAGAGCGAUCGAUAGUUCUGGAAAAUUAAUCUGCAAUUUUUGCGAUCGGACAUACACAGUAUUGACAAGCUUACGAUACCACGUGAACAUGAAGCAUCCGGCUGAAGUUGUCUCUUUGAAGAAUAACAUACUAAAAAAACGCAGAAGCAGCCAACCUUUAUGCCAUCUUUGUAGAAAAAGGUUUAGUUGUUUAACAAAGUUAAAGAAUCACAUACAGGAACAUAAAAUAGAAAAUGUUGCCAAUUCCUGCCCUCACUGCAAUGCCGCCUUUAGCGAAACUCAAGAAAUGAUAUACCAUUUGAAAACAAACCAUAAUGUAUUGCAAAAUAAAUUACACAUAUGUAACACUUGCGGAUAUAGAACGCACAAAAUGUCGCAUUUGAAGCAGCAUAUUUAUACACAUUCAACGGAAAAACGUAAUAAAUGUGAGUACUGCGAUUAUGCGACAAACCACAAAUCUAAUUUAAGAAAUCAUGAACGAAUACAUACGAGCAAUAAGUCGUUCACUUGUAAUUUUGAUGGCUGUAAGAGCAGUUUUACAGAUAUGACUGGUUUAAAUUAUCAUAUUCAGAAACAUUAUCCAGAUAAAAAUAUGCUUUAUUGUGACCAAUGUAGUUAUAAAACUGUGUACAAACAGUCAUUGAAAGUUCAUGUUGAAAGUCAUCUGCGGAGAUGAUGAGCAUUACACCAUAUUCUUGAUAAUACUUAUAGGCUAAGACGCACACAUUAUUACAACCAAGAGAUAGGUAGGUAAAAAAAAAUACAAUUGUAAUAAAAAACUCGCGUAGUGCGUUUUUUUUAAAGCGCUAGUUACGCAU
rnacentral:misc_RNA from 1 species